rnacentral:rRNA from 1 species
CAACGCCGCGUGGAGGAUGAACGCCCCGUUGGGGUAGUAACUCCUUCGACCGGGAAAAUUAUGAUGGUACCGGUGGAAGAAGCACCGGCUAACUCUGUGC